CCCUUUUUUUCUCCUCUGUAGGAAAAAUGGUAAAACACAUAAAAAGUAUCGGUGCGGUGGCGAGCUCUCGGCGUCUUGGAACCCAUGUGAGGUUCAUGUGCAGCGAUUCAUCGAACCUCACAAGAUUUCACCCUCCCGGACAUCGCAGAGACUUUCAUUGUUGUUGAAAUCUUCUGCAUGAUCCGCUAUGAGGUUGUGGAUGACAGGCAAGUUCGAGCUAGAAAUGCCAUUUUCUUGUUCAGCGUUGUUUGACGUCGUGUCUGGUGAGAUACUGGAGUAGAAUGGCACUUGAUGCCGGCGGUAGUCUUAGCGGGAGCCACCAGGAUGCAGCGCUAGCAGUUGCUUGUCCUUUGUAUGGUCGGAAUUCGCUGACAUUUGGCGGGCGCAGAAGUAGCGAGCACUUCAUGUGUGUCAUCCGAAGGCAAGUGGACUGGCGGAAUUACAGGCAUGCUCUUGGAUUGCCCGGUAGAGGCUGCUUGGGAGCUCGCUUCAGACCGGGUAAACUGGCAUGGAUGGUUUCCUGGAAACUCCAAGUUUGAGCUGCGUGAGGGAGAGAAUAGAAAACCAGGAUGUUUACGAUACAUCGCAUCAAUUUCUAACGUCCCCAAUUACUAGGGCAAUGAACGCCUUCUGGCAAUCGACGACGAGAAUUACUUCUUAUCUUGUAAUCUUGAGGAGAAUGAAUUAUUUGGCGGACUUGUAGAUUACAUUGUUGAAGCUCAGGUGUUGCAGCUGCGGGGAACAGGUGACGGGAGGACUAUGGUAGAGUAUUGCUCGUACGAGAUUGGACCAGUGGAGGACCAAACGCCCGAGACAUUCUCGCUUACCAUGAGGAACGUCUACAAGUGAUACCUCAAGAAUCUCGAAAGGGGAGCUCAGAGGCUUGCAGCAGGUCUCGAUCCGAAACCCGAUUGUGUAUCGGUUACAAAGGAAUCCUACAGUCAUUACGUAACAAAUAGCCCCUGAAUCCUUUUGGACCAAGCCAGACAACAAAAUCCGAAGAGUGAUUGAAAACCCGUAUUUAGGGAACACAAAUUCAAGGACCCUGCGGCAGCCAGGAGUUUGAUUGUUACUCUCCGCUAUUGCCCUUUAUCUGUAGUGUAUGUGGUCAACUUUGGUCCAAACUAGGAAUGUUGUUAACAAAACUCAGGCUGUUGCUGUGACAGUAAGAUGUGGCGAAUAUUUUUUUUGCAGUUGUUUAGAAAAA